rnacentral:rRNA from 1 species
CAGUAGGGAAUAUUGCGCAAUGGGCGCAAGCCUGAUGCAGCAACGCCGCGUGCGCGAUGAAGGCCUUCGGGUCGUAAAGCGCUUUUCUGGGAGGAGGAGGAAGGACCGUACUCCAGGAAUAAGUCUCGGCUAACUACGUGCCAGCAGCCGCGGUAAAACGUAGGAGACAAGCGUUAUCCGAAUUUACUGGGCGUAAAGCGCGUGCAGGUGGUUCGGCAAGUGGAAUGUGAAAUCUCCCGGCUCAACUGGGAGGGGCCGUUCCAAACUGCCGGACUAGAGGACGGUAGAGGGAGGUGGAAUUCCCGGUGUAGUGGUGAAAUGCGUAGAUAUCGGGAGGAGCACCUGUGGCGAAAGCGGCCUCCUGGACCGUACCUGACGCUCAGACGCGAAAGCUAGGGGAGUGAACGGGAUUAGAAACCCCGGUAAUCCUAGCCGUAAACGAUGUGGACUGGGUGUCGGUGGGGUAAAAGCCAUCGGUGCCGAAGCCAACGCGAUAAGUCCACCGCCUGGGGACUACGGCCGCAAGGUUA